CCAGCAGCGGCACAGGGGAAACACAUGGGGUGAAGAGAAAAGCAGAGGCGGAUCCCGUUCCCCCAACAACGCCCCUCUUGACCCCAUCUGACCCCACCCUGGAGGUCCAGCCUCAGGAGGGCAGCAACAAGAUGAGGAUCAAGAUCAAGCUUGGAGGAGGAGGAGGGAAGCCACCAGAAGAGCAGGCAGCAGCCAGUCCUGAGGUGCAGAAACAGCAACAAGAGCAGCCAACGACACCCCAGGUCGGGCUGCCUCCAGAGAUAGCUGCCAACAAAG